CAUCCCAUGACAGUGAAGCUUCCUCCUCCCUUCCUCCUCUGCAAGACCAUCAGGGUGCGAUCCACAUGGGAAGGUGCAGGUGCAAAGAUGUGGUCUUUCCAGAAAGGACACCUGGGUCAUGCAGAGACUUCAGCUCAGAGAAGCCACUUCAGGAUUCUUUUGUUUGCAAAAUCAGUUGGGAAGUGUGGAAGGAAGUGUAGAAAAGGAAGAGGCAAGAGAAGCAUUGAAGAGGAGGAAACUGAGGCUGAGACAUGGCAUCACAUGGCUUCUCUGACCAACUGAAUUGUGUCAAGUUAGGUGCUAUGGGUAAGUCAGCUGGUUCCUUUAAACAGGCACUCCUGUCACCAUAAUGUGGUGGCUGUUAUCAAGCACAGUCAGGCAAACUUGCCUACAAGGCCUGCAGCUGCUGAGCAGUAGAGGAAGGAUCCUUUUUCAGGGAGCCCAUCUCUGGC
rnacentral:lncRNA from 1 species